AAUGAACGCUGGCGGCAGGCCUAACACAUGCAAGUCGAACGGAUCCUUCGGGAUUAGUGGCGGACGGGUGAGUAACGCGUGGGAACGUGCCCUUUGGUUCGGAAUAGCCUCGGGAAACUGGGAGUAAUACCGGAUAAGCCCUUCGGGGGAAAGAUUUAUCGCCAAAGGAUCGGCCCGCGUUGGAUUAGGUAGUUGGUGGGGUAAUGGCCUACCAAGCCGACGAUCCAUAGCUGGUUUGAGAGGAUGAUCAGCCACACUGGGACUGAGACACGGCCCAGUCUCCUACGGGAGGCAGCAGUGGGGAAUCUUAGACAAUGGGGGAAACCCUGAUCUAGCCAUGCCGCGUGAUCGAUGAAGGCCUUAGGGUUGUAAAGAUCUCUCAGUUGGGAAGAUAAUGACGGUACCAACAGAAGAAGCCCCGGCUAACUCCGUGCCAGCCGCCGCGGUAAAAC
rnacentral:rRNA from 1 species